rnacentral:tRNA from 1 species
ACGGUGCCGGGGCUUCGCCCGUUUUUCUUCACGGGCGAAG